GAUGAACGCUGGCGGCGUGCCUAAUACAUGCAAGUCGAGCGAAUGGAUUAAGAGCUUGCUCUUAUGAAGUUAGCGGCGGACGGGUGAGUAACACGUGGGUAACCUGCCCAUAAGACUGGGAUAACUCCGGGAAACCGGGGCUAAUACCGGAUAACAUUUUGAACCGCAUGGUUCGAAAUUGAAAGGCGGCUUCGGCUGUCACUUAUGGAGGGACCCGCGUCGCAUCGGCUAGUUGGUGAGGUAACGGCUCACCAAGGCAACGAUGCGUAGCGACCUGAGAGGGUGAUCGGCCACACUGGGACUGAGACACGGCCCAGACUCCUACGGGAGGCAGCAGUAGGGAAUCUUCCGCAAUGGACGAAAGUCUGACGGAGCAACGCCGCGUGAGUGAUGAAGGCUUUCGGGUCGUAAAACUCUGUUGUUAGGGAAGAACAAGUGCUAGUUGAAUAAGCUGGCACCUUGACGGUACCUAACCAGAAAGCCACGGCUAACUACGUGCCAGCCGCCGCCGUAA
rnacentral:rRNA from 1 species